rnacentral:rRNA from 1 species
UAUACCUACGGGAGGCAGCAGUGAGGAAUAUUGGUCAAUGGGCGCGAGCCUGAACCAGCCAAGUCGCGUGAGGGAAGACGGUCCUAUGGAUUGUAAACCUCUUUUGUCGGGGAGCAAAAGACGCCACGCGUGGCGGUCCGAGAGUACCCGAAGAAAAAGCAUCGGCUAACUCCGUGCCAGCAGCCGCGGUAAUACGGAGGAUGCGAGCGUUAUCCGGAUUUAUUGGGUUUAAAGGGUGCGCAGGCGGUAGAUCAAGUCAGCGGUAAAAUUGAGAGGCUCAACCCCUUCGAGCCGCUGAAACUGGG